CUCUCUCUCUCUCUCUCUCUGUCUCUCUCUCUUGGCGAUGACGACAAAGGGGCAGCAGAGGGUCAAACAGCGCCCCCUGGGGCAGCCUCUAGCUCCAGGUCUGAGGGGUCUCAGCCAGAGGGGAGCAGCAGCAGCAGCACUAGUAGUAAGCCUACGGUUGGUUCUCACCGUUGAACCAAACCAAAGCAGUCGCUUCCUAAAGUGGGACCGGUGCUUACCGUUAGUCCUGUUAGUACUGUUAGUCCUGUUUGUAUUGUUAGUCCUGUUUGUAUUGUUAGUCCUGUUAGUAAUGUUAGUCCUGUUAGUACCGUUAGUCCUGUUAGUACUGUUAGUCCUGUUUGUAUUGUUAGUCCUGUUAGUACUGUUAGUCCUGUUAGUUAUGUUAGUCCUGUUAGUAAUGUUAGUCCUGUUUGUAUUGUUAGUCCUGUUAGUAAUGUUAGUCCUGUUUGUAUUGUUAGUCCUGUUAGUACUGUUAGUCCUGUUAGUAAUGUUAGUCCUGUUUGUAUUGUUAGUACUGUUAGUCCUGUUAGUAAUGUUAGUCCUGUUAGUAAUGUUAGUCCUGUUUGUAAUGUUAGUCCUGUUAGUAAUGUUAGUCCUGUUUGUAUUGUUAGUCCUGUUAGUACUGUUAGUCCUGUUAGUCCUGUUUUUAUUGUUAGUCCUGUUAGUAAUGUUAGUCCUGUUAGUAAUGUUAGUCCUGUAUGUAUUGUUAGUCCUGUAUGUAUUGUUAGUCCUGUUAGUAAUGUUAGUCCUGUUAGUAAUGUUAGUCCUGUUUGUAUUGUUAGUCCUGUUAGUAAUGUUAGUCCUGUUAGUAAUGUUAGUCCUGUUUGUAUUGUUAGUCCUGUUAGUACUGUUAGUCCUGUUAGUACUGUUAGUCCUGUUAGUAAUGUUAGUCCUGUUUGUAUUGUUAGUCCUGUUUGUAUUGUUAGUCCUGUUAGUAAUGUUAGUCCUGUUGGUAAUGUUAGUCCUGUUAGUAAUGUUAGUCCUCUUAGUAAUGUUAGUCCUCUUAGUAAUGUUAGUUCUGUUAGUAAUGUUAGUCCUGUUAGUAAUGUUAGUCCUGUUAGUACCGUUAGUCCUGUUAGUACUGUUAGUCCUGUUUGUAUUGUUAGUCCUGUUAGUACUGUUAGUCCUGUUAGUUAUGUUAGUCCUGUUAGUAAUGUUAGUCCUGUUUGUAUUGUUAGUCCUGUUAGUAAUGUUAGUCCUGUUUGUAUUGUUAGUCCUGUUAGUACUGUUAGUCCUGUUAGUAAUGUUAGUCCUGUUUGUAUUGUUAGCACUGUUAGUCCUGUUAGUAAUGUUAGUCCUGUUAGUAAUGUUAGUCCUGUUUGUAAUGUUAGUCCUGUUUGUAUUGUUAGUCCUGUUAGUACUGUUAGUCCUGUUAGUAAUGUUAGUCCUGUUUUUAUUGUUAGUCCUGUUAGUAAUGUUAGUCCUGUUAGUAAUGUUAGUCCUGUAUGUAUUGUUAGUCCUGUAUUUUCUGUUAGUAAUGUUAGUCCUGUUAGUAAUGUUAGUCCUGUUAGUAAUGUUAGUCCUGGCGGCUUCAGCUCCAGGUCCCCUUGCCAGAGGUGCGUUCCUGUUGGCCAGUGGUGCGCUGCACGCGGCUCCUGCAGAUCGAUCCCAGGCAGCCAGUGACCCACAACUCUCUGAGGUCUGCAGGUGGGGCUAUUUAUAGCGGUGAGCUCAUUCUGCCCCGGCGGCACAGCUCCUCCUGCAGGGUCAGGGCUGUGUGAGAGCCAGGUGCGUGUGUGUGUGUGUGUGUGUGUGUGUGUGUGUGUGUGUGUGUGUGUGUGUGUGUGUGUGUGUGUGUGUGUGUGUGUGUGUGUGUGUGUGUGUGUGUGUGUGUGUGUGUGAGAGAGAGAGCCGUGUGUGUGGCUCGUCGCGGCUGCAUUGGGACUAUGACGACGCCAACAGGUGGCGUCAUUGCUGUUAACCCUGGUGGUGAUGGUGGCGCUGGUGGUGUUGGUAUUCGUCCUCACACAUGUACAGCUGGAGACAGGAAAUGAGGUCAGCGGCUCCGUCAUCCAGGUCUCCGGCUGGUUUCCCGCGCCCGCACCCACUAAGAGAUCAUGCGGGUUGAAUCCAACGUUCCCAUGCCGGCUAUCGCAGACUCCCAGGACGGUGUAUUAGCCCCAAGAGGCCCUCUGAGAGACCAUAAUCAAAUAGCAGAGUGGGAGGUCGAUGGCAGAGAAUCGUGUGGGUGGACAGGGCGCCAAGCGGGCUGAUGAUGACGGCAUGUCUACUGAGGCUCAAUCCCCAGCCAGGACCCGUCUCCCUCGCAGACUCUGAGAAGCAGGGAAACGGCCCCAGAUCAGCUGCCGUUUGUUUGAUAGGUGCUCUGACCAGCCACACGCACUAAGAGAAAACGCUAUUAAAGCGUUCACCCUGACUGCUCCCGACGAGCUGGCUUGGUUAUCACCUUGCAUGGCUGACUCCGCCCUCGGUGUGCGAAUGUGUGCAGGAAUGGGUGAAUGAUCUGCAAUAUUGUACAGCGAUUUGAGUCGGGGGUUCAAAAAGCACUUAAUAAAUGCAGUCCAUUUGCCAAUGUCAAGCAAACCCUCACGUUUUGUUAACGAGCCGAAUCUCUCGCACCGUGACACCUCGCAUCGCCUCGCUCCGACCGGACAGGAGACUGGAGCGUCUGAUCAUCCGCGGAGGUGGGUCGUUUCAAGAAGCCGUCUCUCGUGGGGGGGGGGGACGUAUACGGAGGAUUAUCGGUGUAAUGUGUGGAACGCGUUUUGCGUACACCGUGUUCGCCGUCUAAUCUCCGCACAGCGGGCCGGGUCGCCGUGCGCACGCCGAGUCCGGGAAUUAGCGGCGCUCCACGGCAUUCCCUGUCAUUCCCGGCAUUCCCAUUCUCCCCGGCAUUCCCGAGACAUACUUAUUAAAAAACACGUGAGGAAAAGUGCUUAAAGAGUGUUUUCUCUGACGGCGCGCGGCUGGUCAGCGCUCUUGAUAAACAAACGGCAGCUCCUCUCCGCUGCGCUGGAACAAGGGAACUCUGCCGGCGUUCCCACUUUUCUCUGCUCCGCCCCACCCACACACCAAUAAAUCCGAGCCAUAUUAAUUGACGGAGAUUAAUUCCUCUUUGUAUGUAUUAUUCAUCCCUCUUUCCCAGGGUUGAGUGCUGCCUGGCUUGUCGCUGCGGUUGUUUUUUCCCCUCCGCCACUGAGUGAAGCAUGGCUAAAUUGUCCUGAAUAAUUAAAUCUGUUGGUAAAUAAAACAGCAGACAGGCCCAAUGGCGCCGUGGAGGAAGGAAACAGAGAAGGGCCGUGACACCCCCCCAAGCCCCUCCCCCCCUCCGACUCACCCCCACUCCCCGACUCACCCGACUCACCCAACUCACCCACCAACCGAUUCAGCCCAGGCAGACGCUGUCCUUCAGUUUCACAGAGAGAGGGAGGGAGAGGGGGGGGCAGAGCCGGUAGUGAAGGAAGGAGAGACGUGCACUUGCUGCAUCCCAAUACUUAGUACAUACUAUUUCUGUUCAGUGUCUACUACUUGACCGUACUACACUUGACAGUGUAGUACGGUCUACAGCUAUGCGUAGAACGCCUCUGAACGCUUCCGAACACCGCCGAAACUCACCCGGAUGUUUGGAGAUGACGUGUCUCCCCUCAGAUGCCGGCGAAAUGACCUUGAUAAGUUACCUUUUUUCCGUCUUGUCAUCGUUGCUAUUCAAUAAAAAAUGUCUCUUUUCGUAAUUACCGAUUAAAGAAACAUUUAAUACAUUUAAUACGAAAUUUGCGGGUGGUGUCGGGUCAGCCAUCUCUCCUUCGAUCGUUACCAGACUCCGGUUGCAUUGUGGGAUAGCGUAGUGACCUACCGUUGUAUACUUCGGCGGUAGUACGCAUUCGGAAACGUUUCACACACUACACAAUGCGUACUGAGCCUUCGGACGCACUAUAUUUGUGGCAUGCUACAAUGCAUACUAUAUAGAAGUCAAGUAUGAGUAUCCGGAUGCAGCCUUAGACUUUGGAUCCUCUGGUCCUCCACUGAGGGAGGGGGAGGAGGGAGGGGGGAGUGAUGGAGGGAAGAUGGAGGGAGG
ensembl:lncRNA